AUGCAGCCGGCUUUCUUCUCACUCGUCCUGAUUGCCGUACACGCGUCUCUGUCGGUGGAUUGUGCACCGAGGCUCCGGGGGCCAACGCGCCUGGUGCGACAUCAGCCGAGGAGCUUCCAGACGGGCGCACACGCCGAUACGUCGGCUGGUACCAGUCCUUUCUACUGGGAGCCCAGUGGAUCAACGAGAAAAGGCCUUUACAGAAACUCUUUUGUAAUUCUGCCAGUAAGAACAGCUACCAGCAACCUAGUGUCAAUAUUUGAUUUGCGCAGAAAAAGGUUCCUCUGUAUGGACUCAACGGGAGAUCCGUACAGCUCUAGACAAGCGGACGCAGACGAUUGUCUCUUCCAGCCCGUUUGGUUGGACGCGGCGGACCCCCAUGACGUGUUUAACUCCAUAAGCGUGGGCCGGCGGCCGUUUGGACCACUGGGGUCAGAGCUGGGAGUCGCUUACCGGCAGCCCCCCAAACUCUCCUCCUCCUCCUCCCCCUCCUCCUCCCUGGUGGAGCGCUUCCUCGGCCCCUCGGUGAAGAGACGGAGGAGGAGCGAUGCGGUGAACCCCUCCGAUCCAUUAAGGUCACAUUCACACCCCUCGCAUUCUGCCCAGGACCACAAGGAUGUAGACCACCGGCAGCCCGAUCAGGACCAGGCCGGCGCUGUGUCCAAGGAGACCAUCACCUCCUGCGAUGACCCCCUGCGGGUCCUCCAGCCCAACGGGCCGGUCAGCCCCGUCAAGACUAAUAUUGCAGACCGAGCAGAACAGGAAUAA
ensembl:lncRNA